CGAUCCUAGCUUGCUAGGAGGCGUCGAGCGGCGGACGGGUGAGUAAUGCAUAGGAAUCUGCCCGGUAGUGGGGGAUAACCUGGGGAAACCCAGGCUAAUACCGCAUACGCCCUACGGGGGAAAGCAGGGGAUCUUCGGACCUUGCGCUAUCGGAUGAGCCUAUGUCGGAUUAGCUAGUUGGUGAGGUAACGGCUCACCAAGGCUGCGAUCCGUAGCUGGUCUGAGAGGAUGAUCAGCCACAUCGGGACUGAGACACGGCCCGAACUCCUACGGGAGGCAGCAGUGGGGAAUAUUGGACAAUGGGCGAAAGCCUGAUCCAGCCAUGCCGCGUGUGUGAAGAAGGCCUUCGGGUUGUAAAGCACUUUCAGUGAGGAAGAAAGCCUUGAGGUUAAUACCCUCGAGGGAGGACAUCACUCACAGAAGAAGCACCGGCUAACUCCGUGCCAGCAGCCGCGGUAAUACGGAGGGUGCGAGCGUUAAUCGGAAUUACUGGGCGUAAAGCGCGCGUAGGCGGCUUGAUAAGCCGGUUGUGAAAGCCCCGGGCUCAACCUGGGAACGGCAUCCGGAACUGUCAGGCUAGAGUGCAGGAGAGGAAGGUAGAAUUCCCGGUGUAGCGGUGAAAUGCGUAGAGAUCGGGAGGAAUACCAGUGGCGAAGGCGGCCUUCUGGACUGACACUGACGCUGAAGUGCGAAAGCGUGGGUAGCAAACAGGAUUAGAUACCCUGGUAGUCCACGCCGUAAACGAUGUCGACUAGCCGUUGGGCUCCUUGAGAGCUUUGUGGCGCAGUUAACGCGAUAAGUCGACCGCCUGGGGAGUACGGCCGCAAGGUUAAAACUCAAAUGAAUUGACGGGGG
rnacentral:rRNA from 1 species